rnacentral:ncRNA from 2 species
GGGAAGCCGGUGGAAAUCCGGCGCUGACCCGCAACCGUGAUCCGGGACGUACGGCAUCCGCGCGCCGGCCGGCCGCCGGGACC